CAGAACAUUUUCUCCCUCAUGGAGAGGGUCAGGUAGGCAAGUAUGGUUUACAAUGAUCAAGAUCAGAGGUUCUCAACUCCAGAGCCCAAGUACCACCAACAGGUCAUGCUUUGUGAGUUUCUUUAGCCAUGCACAGGUUCCACAAAUGGAUCCUGACCACUCUGAAGGACUGUCCAAGUGCCCUGAAUCUAAGCAUGUGUGACUAAAGCAAAAUGGAGUUACACUUCAUACAACAGACAACAGAGCUGCAGCACAGUCCAACAGAUCUGGAAAAGAUUUAUCAACCGGAUCCCCAUCUGCUCCAUUAUCCGGCAGAAUACACUCCAGCACCACAAAUCAAGCGGAUUUUCUUCAUUUAAAACAAGAUGCACAGACUCUGUUGUUAGCGGCACUUUCCAUCUAUCGCCCAAAAACUACUGUCAGACAUCCACAUUUACAACUUGGACAUAUGGUGUGUAUUAACACACUCUGAAUGUGAUUCCAUUGACGAAUGGGACUUAAAUCAAAUCCAUCAAUGAUUUUGUUACCAGUUUACUUCUUUGAUUCUAUGGAAACCUUAGUAUGUUCAAGCAAUUAAAUUCUGCUUGGUUGCCAAUAAGUUUUCAAAGUAUUUAUUAUGUGCAUCUAUUUUUAUACAUUUGGUUGAGUUUAUAGGGGGAAUUCAAUUUGGGGCGAACCGAUUUGCCAGACCGAAUUAGCGCGACUCCCACCACACUUUACGGCGGCAAGAUCUCGUUCAAAAGUGUUUGCUACCCCAUAGGGUAGUGAGCUCUCUUAAGUGAAGAGGGGUGCGAACGAGAGGUCGCCCACAAUGAAUUCCCCCCAUGUGUUUAUAUUACAUUCUGUAAAAUUCUCAUUGUAUUAAUAAACUGCAUCACUGAUU